CGGAUUGUAGUCUGCAACCCGACUACAUGAAGCUGGAAUCGCUAGUAAUCGCAGAUCAGAAUGCUGCGGUGAAUACGUUCCCGGGUCUUGUACACACCGCCCGUCACACCAUGGGAGUUGGAAAUGCCCGAAGCCAGUGACCCAACCGUAAGGAGGGAGCUGUCGAAGGUGGAGCCGAUGACUGGGGUGAAGUCGUAACAAGGUACC
rnacentral:rRNA from 1 species